AACCUUUCAUUAUUUGGUCUCUGAUUGGGUCCUGCCCCCCCUUCCCCCAUGCGCUGUGCUUUGGCAGUACAACUUGAAUUUUGAACCUUUUCAAGACAAAUAGGUUUGAAAUAGUUAGGAAUAAAUGUCCCUUUCUCCAUAAAAAAUCAGAAUAGCUAUACAGGUUACAUAUAGUACAUUUGUACAUACAGUAGUGUAGGUACAAAUGUUAUUGUACCUAUCGAAGCUAUCAAGCCAUACCUUUUCUUAUUAUGCUUACUGUACCUUUGCUGCUUUUUCGUCAAUAUAGAAAAAAUUAAUUACAUUGCCCCCCCCCCAACAUGACAGGCUUUUCUCCUUGUAAUUAAGGAUACCGUAGACCCAAGCGGUAAUUACCCCAAAUGUCCCUGCAAAAUCGCUCGCACUUGCUUUCGAAUUAAAGCAAAUGCCAACAAACUAUAUAUCAAUUUAAAGCUUAAUGAUUGUACUAUCCUCCUAAAAUGAUCAUUUUUUAUACGUGCUUAAUUUUGAGUGCUUUUGCCUGGUCCGAAGUGCGAAAUCAUCCACUUUUAAACAUGUGAAUUAUUUAUACACACCAAAAGCGCGUAACCUCCCAGGAUCUGCUUUAUAUCUUUCGUCAUGUACUAAACUGACAAACCCUGUCUACAUUUGACGUCACACAGCCUCGUUGAUUAAAGGCGUGGAAUAAUUUUGCUUCUUUGGCUACAACGCACUAAUUAAGUCAGUGGCGAAAAAAGCUACUGAUUAUCUGCGGCACGGUGUGACAGAACAUAUCUAUACUAGACGCUUGCCAAGUUGCGCAGGAAUCGGGCGGUUAGAAGUGUACCUUUAAUUCACAUAUUUAGAGUAAGAUGGGGUGAAAUUUGAUUGCGUAUUAUCGGGGAUUGAAGUUGUGUAAACAUUAGAUGCAGCGUGACAGUAAUGACAGACGAAGAGCAAAUAGUUUAUUGGCUUUAGUUUAGUUUAUUGGCUUUGUCACACAAAAAAAAAUACUACAGUUUACAAUAGGAAAUAAACAAAAUAAAGAAAAUAAGAAACAAUGUGACGGGAGAAGAAAACAGGGCGUAAGCCCCAAUUGAAAUUCUUUCCCAACAAAUGACAAACAAUAAGAAUUCAAAAACGAAAAUAAAAAUUGAAUUACAUAAAUUUAACAUCUAUGAAAUUAUGGAGGUUGGUAAAAGGCAAGUUUCUCUAAAUAGUGAGUUGUCAGCUGAUACCUGAAAGACGAAAGCGUAGUGCAAGAUUUCAUAAGUGAAGGAAGACUAUUCCAAAGUUUGACAGUUCUAGGGAAAUACGAAUUCCUGUAAUAAUUUUGGUUGUGAGUGGAAAAAAGGCGGUAAUUGUUAGGAUGGUAAUUAUGGAGGUUGGUAAAAGGCAAGUUUCUCUAAAUAGUAAAUAAUAAUUUUAAAUAACAGAACUAGAUUGGUUAUGUCUCUUCGAUAUUCUAAUGGGAGGAGCUUAAGAGUUUUCAGCCUUUCUGUGUAUGAAACAUCGGCGGGAUAGUUCAAAAUAAACUUGGAUGCUCGA